UACGGAGGGGGCUAGCGUUGUUCGGAUUUACUGGGCGUAAAGCGCGUGUAGGCGGCUUGGCAAGUCGGAUGUGAAAGCCCACGGCUCAACCGUGGAAGCGCAUCCGAAACUGCUUCGCUCGAGUCUCGGAGAGGAAGGUGGAAUGCUUGGUGUAGAGGUGAAAUUCGUAGAUAUCAAGCAGAACACCUGCGGCGAAGGCGGCCUUCUGGACGAUGACUGACGCUGAGACGCGAAAGCGUGGGGAGCAAACAGGAUUAGAUACCCGCGUAGUCC
rnacentral:rRNA from 1 species